CCUACGGGUGGCAGCAGUGGGGAAUAUUGGACAAUGGGCGAAAGCCUGAUCCAGCCAUGCCGCGUGUGUGAAGAAGGCCUUCGGGUUGUAAAGCACUUUCAGUGGGGAAGAAAGCCUUGGGGCUAAUACCCUCGAGGAAGGACAUCACCCACAGAAGAAGCACCGGCUAACUCCGUGCCAGCAGCCGCGGUAAUACGGAGGGUGCGAGCGUUAAUCGGAAUUACUGGGCGUAAAGCGCGCGUAGGCGGUCUGAUAAGCCGGUUGUGAAAGCCCCGGGCUCAACCUGGGAACGGCAUCCGGAACUGUCAGGCUAGAGUGCAGGAGAGGAAGGUAGAAUUCCCGGUGUAGCGGUGAAAUGCGUAGAGAGCGGGAGGAAUACCAGUGGCGAAGGCGGCCUUCUGGACUGACACUGACGCUGAGGUGCGAAAGCGUGGGUAGCAAACAGGAUUAGAUACCCCGGUAGUC
rnacentral:rRNA from 1 species